UACGUAGGGUGCGAGCGUUGCCCGGAUUUAUUGGGCGUAAAGGGCGCGUAGGCGGCUCGACACGUUCGUUGUGAAAUCGCCCGGCUCAACUGGGCGGGGUCAGCGAAUACGGUCGAGCUUGAGCAAGCUAGGGGGCAAUGGAAUUCCCGGUGUAGUGGUGGAAUGCGUAGAUAUCGGGAGGAACACCAGUGGCGAAGGCGGCUCACUGGCUCGGUACUGACGCUGAGGUGCGAAAGCGUGGGGAGCAAACAGG
rnacentral:rRNA from 1 species